rnacentral:rRNA from 1 species
ACGAACGCUGGCGGCGUGCCUAACACAUGCAAGUCGAGCGAGGAGAUUCCUUCGGGAUGAUCCUAGCGGCGGACGGGUGAGUAACACGUGGGCAACCUGCCUCAUAGAGAGGAAUAGCCUUCCGAAAGGGAGAUUAAUACCUCAUAACAUUGCAGUUUCGCAUGGAACAGCAAUUAAAGGAGUAAUCCGCUAUGAGAUGGGCCCGCGGCGCAUUAGCUAGUUGGUGAGGUAACGGCUCACCAAGGCGACGAUGCGUAGCCGACCUGAGAGGGUGAUCGGCCACAUUGGGACUGAGACACGGCCCAGACUCCUACGGGAGGCAGCAGUGGGGAAUAUUGCACAAUGGGGGAAACCCUGAUGCAAGCAACGCCGCGUGAGUGAUGACAGCCUUCGGGUUGUAAAGCUCUGUCUUCAGGGACGAUAAUGACGGUACCUGAGGAGGAAGCCACGGCUAACUACGUGCCAGCCGCCGC